rnacentral:rRNA from 1 species
UACGUAGGGGGCAAGCGUCGUCCGGAUUUAUUGGGCGUAAAGAGCGUGUAGGCGGCUUGGUAGGUCCGCUGUGAAAACUCGAGGCUCAACCUCGAGAUGUCGGCGGAAACCCCCUGGCUAGAGUCCGGAAGAGGAGAGUGGAAUUCCCGGUGUAGCGGUGAAAUGCGCAGAUAUCGGGAAGAACACCUAUGGCGAAGGCAGCUCUCUGGGACGGUACUGACGCUGAGACGCGAAAGCGUGGGGAGCGAACAGG